rnacentral:rRNA from 1 species
CCCUUAGAUGUUCUGGGCAGCACGCGCGCUACAAUGGUCUUCGCAAACGGAUGCAUUCUCGAAGGAGAAUGCCAAUCUUGGAAUCUAUGCCUUGGUCGGGACAGUUGCUUGCAAUUUUUCGACUCGAACCAGGAAUUCCUUGUAAUCGUGAUUCAUCACAUCACGAUGAAUACGUCCCUGCCUUUGUACACACCGCCCGUCGCUCCUACCGAUCGAAGAGUUAGGUGAAUUGUUUUGAUCGAUAAGAUUUGACUAUGGUCAACUCUCGUUGUGAAAUUCUGUGAAUCUGACUGUUUAGAGGAAGGAAAAGUCGUAACA